rnacentral:rRNA from 1 species
CCUACGGGAGGCAGCAGUAGGGAAUCUUCCACAAUGGGCGAAAGCCUGAUGGAGCAACGCCGCGUGGGUGAUGAAGGUCCUCGGAUUGUAAAACCCUGUUGUUAGAGAAGAAAGUGCGUGAGAGUAACUGUUCACGUUUCGACGGUAUCUAACCAGAAAGCCACGGCUAACUACGGGCCAGCAGCCACGGUAAUACGUAGGUGGCAAACGUUAUCCGGAUUUAUUGGGCGUAAAGGGGACGCAGGCGGUUUGUUAAGGCUGAUGUGAAAGCGUUGGGCAUAACCGGAGUAGUGCAUUGGAAACUGGGAGACUUGAGUGCAGAAGAGGAGUGUGGAACUCCAUGUGUAGCGGUGAAAUGCGUAGAUAUAUGGAAGAACACCAGUGGCGAAGGCGGCUCUCUGGUCUGUAACUGACGCUGAGGUUCGAAAGCGUGGGUAGCGAACAGGAUUAGAUACCCUUGUAGUC